AUGAAUAGGGAUAAACUUAGGAAGAGACACAUCAUCAAACCCCUUGAUUGCGUUUACUGCUUGAAACAAGAGUCUUGUUCUCACCUAUUUUUUGAAUGUAUAGUUGCUAAACAUCUCUGGACCCACAUUGAGGAAUAUUUCUCUAGUCAGAUUGGCUCAUCCUUUGAAUCUGUCGCCAGAUUCUGGAUUGCUACCAAAAAGUGCUCAGUUUUAAACAUUGUUAGCUCAGCUGUCCUUUGGUGCCUCUGGAAAUAUAGAAAUGCUAUGAUUUUCAGUAACACCUCCUGAAUUUCCAUUCCGCAGGUCUUGAGGUUGAUCAGGAACAUGGCGAGGAACUGGGCGAUUCUCUCCACCGGAUCAGACAAGGACAAGUUGAUGAGCUACGUUGAAACCCUAACAUGA
rnacentral:rRNA from 1 species